rnacentral:rRNA from 1 species
AAAUUGAAGAGUUUGAUCAUGGCUCAGAUUGAACGCUGGCGGCAGGCCUAACACAUGCAAGUCGAACGGUAACAGGAAGCAGCUUGCUGCUUUGCUGACGAGUGGCGGACGGGUGAGUAAUGUCUGGGAAACUGCCUGAUGGAGGGGGGAUAACUACUGGAAACGGUGGCUAAUACCGCAUAACGUCGCAAGACCAAAGAGGGGGACCUUCGGGCCUCUUGCCAUCAGAUGUGCCCAGAUGGGAUUAGCUUGUUGGUGAGGUAACGGCUCACCAAGGCGACGAUCCCUAGCUGGUCUGAGAGGAUGACCAGCCACACUGGAACUGAGACACGGUCCAGACUCCUACGGGGAGGCAGCAGUGGGGAAUAUUGCACAAUGGGCGCAAGCCUGAUGCAGCCAUGCCGCGUGUAUGAAGAAGGCCUUCGGGUUGUAAAGUACUUUCAGCGGGGAGGAAGGUGUUGUGGUUAAUAACCGCAGCAAUUGACGUUACCCGCAGAAGAAGCACCGGCUAACUCCGUGCCAGCAGCCGCGGUAAUACGGAGGGUGCAAGCGUUAAUCGGAAUUACUGGGCGUAAAGCGCACGCAGGCGGUCUGUCAAGUCGGAUGUGAAAUCCCCGGGCUCAACCUGGGAACUGCAUUCGAAACUGGCAGGCUUGAGUCUUGUAGAGGGGGGUAGAAUUCCAGGUGUAGCGGUGAAAUGCGUAGAGAUCUGGAGGAAUACCGGUGGCGAAGGCGGCCCCCUGGACAAAGACUGACGCUCAGGUGCGAAAGCGUGGGGAGCAAACAGGAUUAGAUACCCUGGUAGUCCACGCCGUAAACGAUGUCUACUUGGAGGUUGUGCCCUUGAGGCGUGGCUUCCGGAGCUAACGCGUUAAGUAGACCGCCUGGGGAGUACGGCCGCAAGGUUAAAACUCAAAUGAAUUGACGGGGGCCCGCACAAGCGGUGGAGCAUGUGGUUUAAUUCGAUGCAACGCGAAGAACCUUACCUGGUCUUGACAUCCACAGAAGAAUCCAGAGAUGGAUUUGUGCCUUCGGGAACUGUGAGACAGGUGCUGCAUGGCUGUCGUCAGCUCGUGUUGUGAAAUGUUGGGUUAAGUCCCGCAACGAGCGCAACCCUUAUCCUUUGUUGCCAGCGGUCCGGCCGGGAACUCAAAGGAGACUGCCAGUGAUAAACUGGAGGAAGGUGGGGAUGACGUCAAGUCAUCAUGGCCCUUACGACCAGGGCUACACACGUGCUACAAUGGCGCAUACAAAGAGAAGCGACCUCGCGAGAGCAAGCGGACCUCAUAAAGUGCGUCGUAGUCCGGAUUGGAGUCUGCAACUCGACUCCAUGAAGUCGGAAUCGCUAGUAAUCGUGGAUCAGAAUGCCACGGUGAAUACGUUCCCGGGCCUUGUACACACCGCCCGUCACACCAUGGGAGUGGGUUGCAAAAGAAGUAGGUAGCUUAACCUUCGGGAGGGCGCUUACCACUUUGUGAUUCAUGACUGGGGUGAAGUCGUAACAAGGUAACCGUAGGGGAACCUGCGGUUGGAUCACCUCCUUA